UGGGGAAUAUUGCACAAUGGGCGAAAGCCUGAUGCAGCGACGCCGCGUGAGGGAUGACGGCCUUCGGGUUGUAAACCUCUUUCAGCAGGGACGAAGCGCAAGUGACGGUACCUGCAGAAGAAGCACCGGCUAACUACGUGCCAGCAGCCGCGGUAAUACGUAGGGUGCAAGCGUUGUCCGGAAUUACUGGGCGUAAAGAGUUCGUAGGCGGUUUGUCGCGUCGUUUGUGAAAACCAGCAGCUCAACUGCUGGCUUGCAGGCGAUACGGGCAGACUUGAGUACUGCAGGGGAGACUGGAAUUCCUGGUGUAGCGGUGAAAUGCGCAGAUAGCAGGAGGAACACCGGUGGCGAAGGCGGGUCUCUGGGCAGUAACUGACGCUGAGGAACGAAAGCGUGGGUAGCGAACAGG
rnacentral:rRNA from 1 species